rnacentral:rRNA from 1 species
AGCGAACGCUGGCGGCAGGCCUAACACAUGCAAGUCGAACGGACCCUUCGGGGUUAGUGGCGGACGGGUGAGUAACACGUGGGAACGUGCCUUUAGGUUCGGAAUAGCUCCUGGAAACGGGUGGUAAUGCCGAAUGUGCCCUUCGGGGGAAAGAUUUAUCGCCUUUAGAGCGGCCCGCGUCUGAUUAGCUAGUUGGUGAGGUAAUGGCUCACCAAGGCGACGAUCAGUAGCUGGUCUGAGAGGAUGACCAGCCACACUGGGACUGAGACACGGCACAGACUCCUGCGGGAGGCAGCAGUGGGGAAUCUUGCGCAAUGGGCGAAAGCCUGACGCAGCCAUGCCGCGUGAAUGAUGAAGGUCUUAGGAUUGUAAAAUUCUUUCACCGGGGACGAUAAUGACGGUACCCGGAGAGGAAGCCCCGGCUAACUUCGUGCCAGCCGCCGCCGUAA